CGUGGUGGAAGGAGGACUGUCGAUGUGAGCUGUCCGCGAGCACCUCACUGGCAGCUGAUCGUUCUCUCUUCCUCACCUCCUCCUCCUCCUCUUCCUCCUUCACCUCCUUCCUCCCCCGUGAUGGCCAGCGCCUCUCGGUGGAUUUAAUGCGUUCAAGAGUCCUAUAUUGCGAUCCUACGACAGUGAACCAGAGGAACAGAGGACCAGCACCUGCACCCCACAUCCUCCCUGGACCAAGGAAGGAGCAUCAAUAACAAAGAGCAGCGCCAGACCACCCUUGCCGCCUCAGCCGCCUCCUCGGUCUCCUCCUCCUAGUCGUCUUCCUCCUCCUCCUCCUUAUCUUCCAUCCGCAUCGAGUGUCCCCUGAUCCUAAUCUACACCGUAGUUCAACUUGACGACGAAGAGUGGAUGGGAGAGAGAAAGAUAGAGUGAUAGAGAGGGAGAGUUGGGUGGAACAGAAAGAUAUAAACGCCACAUCCCUGCUUAAACCUCUGCUGAGCUGUCGGUGUGCCUGCUUACUCCUGAGGGAUUAAGAAGCAGCAGAAGAGAAAGAAAAGGAGAGAAAAAGAGUGAGAGAUACAUUCCCUAACUCCACCUACUCUCGCUUCUGCUACUGUGAUGGUUUCUGCUGACGCUUAGAGGGACGAAGAAGCAGAAGAAGCAGAAGGAAAACGAUAGAGACAGAGCAAGCACCUUACCAGCCGCUGUUCCUGCUCCCCCCUGAUGUUUCCUCCCCUGUGGCUGUUGCUGGCGCCUCAAAAGCAAGGAUCGUGUCAAAGAGAGUUUUAGCUUGGCGUCUUGUUACGUGAAGGAGUGAAAGAUGAAGUCUGAGUUAGUAAGGAAAAUGUGAGGUAUUACAUACAUAAUUGAAGAGAGGCUUGUAAACAUAACCUUUCUUAACUAGUCAGUUGAAAGGAACUAAAAGGUUGUUUCCGGGAGACCUAAAGGAAAUAUCUGACCUUUGCGUAUAUAAAUGAGUUUAGAUGUUGGUUAACCACAUGCGAAGGAAAGUACAGAAUGGCAGUUGGUGAAAAGUGAAGAAGGGCUUGUAAAUAUGACCUUUCCUAAACUAGCUAAUUGAAAGGGAGUAAAGGGUUGUUACCUAGAGAGUUGAAGGAAAUAUCUAACCCUCGCUAAUAUCAUAAAAAGUUUCGCCCUAAAGUUAUUAAGGGGUAAAGAAAUGCGUGUGAUAAAUGGUAGAAAUAAGUGAGGGAGAAGAAAAAAGUUAUCAUAAGUAAAAAGUUUUAACUACCCACUUCAAGUUAAGGAAGUUAGACGUUUAAUUAAUAUUGUAAAAACAGGAAAAAAAUGGAAAAAUAGUUUGUGGUGUAAUAAUAAAACGGAGAGGGAAGGAAAAUAGUGUGCGUGCUUGUACGAAGUGGAAACUGAUGCAGAAAUAGAAGAGUUUGCGCUCCGCCCCGAAUGUUAUUUUUUUAAAGGAAAGAAAAAUUGAAAAUAAAAGGGAAAUUGUGCCAGUGAAAAACGUCUGGAUACCAAGUGAAACGGAAUUAAAUAUAUAGAAAAAAAGAAGAAUACAUAUAAUAAGAAAAGAGAAAGAGAGCAAAGAAAAAAAACAGGAAGGAUAAUAAAGAAAGAAAAAGAAAACAUAGACAAAGAAACUGUAAAUAAAAACAAAAAGGAUCAGAAAAAUACAGAAACAGAGAAAAGGAAACAAGAAAUCAAAAGCAAGAAAAAGGAAGAAAAAGGAAGAAAACGAGACAGCAGGAUAACACAGAACCGGAAAAAAACACCUGCACAUCAAAACCUGACAAGGAAAAAUAAGAAAAACAAGAAAAAACAACAAAUAAAAAAGUACCGUGAAUAAAAAACAAACCGAGAGAAAGAACGAGACCGAGAGCGAGAGAGAAAGAGAGCAAGAGUGAGAGAGUGAAAGAAAGAAAAUAAAGAGAGAUAAAAAAAAAGUUCUCCCUCUCCUGAAUGCCUCUCAAGUAAGCGUCUUUGAUUUGACAAGAUUUGCUCACCGCCAAAGCCUUCCAGAAUACCAAGUGCUUAAUUAACUUUUUUUUUUACCUCCCUCCCUCCCUCCCUACCUCCGUCUCUCCUUUCCUCCCUCUCUCCCUCCUCUUGCUGCCUCCUCAAUCUCCCUCUCUGCCUCUUUCUCCCUUCCCUCUCUCCCCCUUUUUCUUUUUGUUUCCUUGUCGCUUAGUUUUUUUUUCUUUUUCCUUUUCAUCUCCGUCUCUCCCUCCCUCACUCUCUGCCUCCUCUCUCUCUCUCUCUUUACUCCUUUCUCUUUACUCUUUUCUCUACAUCGUCUCCUUUUCUUUCCUCUCUUUCUCUUUUCCUCUUCCUACCUCCCAGUCUCUUUCAUCCCUCUCUCCCUCCCUUCCUCUUCUAUUUUUUUUUUCAUCUCCUCUUUCUCCCUUCAUUCCCUCCCUCCGGCCUCCUUCCUCUCUCACCCUUUUCCCUUCCUUUCAUCUCCCUCCUCUCCUCUCCUUCACUCUCCCUCUCAAAUACCCAAGUCCUUCCCUUUUCUCUUUCCUCGCGUCCGCCUUCCUCCCUUUCCUGACCUCUCAUUCAGCCCUGAAAUGGAAUAGCGAAGGGCUGCUUGGGAAUACAGACCCCUCUCGUAAAACACCCUGACUCAGCAACCCAACUACUGACCCUCCCUGACUGCCACUCCCUCCCCCUCCUGACUCCCUCUCCCUCCCUAAUCCGCUCCUCCCCGCUCUUUCACUUCGCUGUAUGAUUUCACUUUUUGUUCUUUGUACCUACGGGCUAAACGGAACCUCAAGAACCGACUGAACCAAAGCAGGGAAAGUGGAAAUAAAGGAAGAAUUAGAUGCUUUAGUGUGUCUUGUAUAGAAAAAUCGUGGAAAAUUAGCAUUACGAAAAUAUUUGUUUGUCAACUUAAAGGAAAAUAAAGUACAGAAACGACGCCAGAGAAGAACUUAGGCGGCUGUAUCCUGUGAAAAGAUUAACAGGUGACAGAGAAAGAUACGGUGAUGGUUGAGUUAGUGGCUGUCAAAAGUGAAGCGUGGAAGGCGUGAUACAGAAAGAUUUUUGUGUGUUUAACUUGACGAAAGGAAAUCAAAGAGAAUUCAGUGUCUCUCAACCGAUCAGAAAAAGAGAGAGAGAGAGAAGAAUCAGAAAAAGAGAGAGAAAGAAAAACAAACACACACACGCUCACACACACACGUAAACACCCACCCACCCACCCACCCACACACACACACACACACACACACAUCACGAACACACGUAAAGAAAAUGAGAGAAGGACAAACAAGUGAAGUGUCGGAAUGUAACCUGUUUUACCUCACUCUCCACCACCUCCACCACCUCCACCACCACCAGCACCUCCAGCAUCUGUGAAGACUUAAGAAGACUGUGAACCACGCUCUCUCUGUCUCUAAGCCUCCACGCCACGCCCACCUGAGA